UUGACUCUGGGAUAAGCCUGGGAAACUGGGUCUAAUACUGGAUACUACCUCUUGCCGCAUGGUGGGUGGUGGAAAGGGUUUUACUGGUUUUGGAUGGGCUCACGGCCUAUCAGCUUGUUGGUGGGGUAAUGGCUCACCAAGGCGACGACGGGUAGCCGGCCUGAGAGGGUGACCGGCCACACUGGGACUGAGACACGGCCCAGACUCCUACGGGAGGCAGCAGUGGGGAAUAUUGCACAAUGGGCGGAAGCCUGAUGCAGCGACGCCGCGUGAGGGAUGACGGCCUUCGGGUUGUAAACCUCUUUCAGUAGGGAAGAAGCGAGAGUGACGGUACCUGCAGAAGAAGCGCCGGCUAACUACGUGCCAGCAGCCGCGGUAAUACGUAGGGCGCAAGCGUUGUCCGGAAUUAUUGGGCGUAAAGAGCUCGUAGGCGGUUUGUCGCGUCUGCUGUG
rnacentral:rRNA from 1 species